CAAUUUUCAACUUGUUCAUGCAUAGCUCAAAAAGUAUUUGACUCUAACAUUAGCACGCUUUAAUGCUAUGUUUAACGCAAAUGAUGUCAUGUCAAAGUGUAAUUACACUAGUGUAAUAUCGUUUUACUAAAUGGCUUUAUUAUACUCCUGCAACGCGUUUUAUGUAACAAACUACCCAAAAAAUAUCAACAGAUACACAAGGCACCUGGUAGAUGCUGGUAAUGGAAAGUUCAACUUGAUGAUUCUCUGUUGGAAUGAGGCCAAGGGUUCCAGCUUGAGAAACAGUAACGGUCAUUGACUUCGUAAUGUUAUUUACAAGUUGUACGUUAUUAUGACGUUGACGUCAAUAUUUUUUUGGAGUGCGCCGCUGUCGCCGACAUGUGUUUAUGUAAAAUUAAAUAUUGUUGUAUUCUAAUUAAGAAGCUAGUAACAUGA